GACGAACGCUGGCGGCGUGCUUAACACAUGCAAGUCGAACGGAAAGGCCCUGCUUUUGUGGGGUGCUCGAGUGGCGAACGGGUGAGUAACACGUGAGUAACCUGCCCUUGACUUUGGGAUAACUUCAGGAAACUGGGGCUAAUACCGGAUAGGAGCUCCUGCUGCAUGGUGGGGGUUGGAAAGUUUCGGCGGUUGGGGAUGGACUCGCGGCUUAUCAGCUUGUUGGUGGGGUAGUGGCUUACCAAGGCCUUGACGGGUAGCCGGCCUGAGAGGGUGACCGGCCACAUUGGGAAUGAGAUACGGCCCAGACUCCUACGGGAGGCAGCAGUGGGGAAUAUUGCACAAUGGGCGGAAGCCUGAUGCAGCAACGCCGCGUGCGGGAUGACGGCCUUCGGGUUGUAAACCGCUUUCGCCUGUGACGAAGCGUGAGUGACGGUAAUGGGUAAAGAAGCACCGGCUAACUACGUG
rnacentral:rRNA from 1 species